rnacentral:rRNA from 1 species
GGUUAAGUUAAUAAGGGCGCACGGUGGAUGCCUUGGCACUAGAAGCCGAUGAAGGACGUGACUAACGACGAAAUGCUUUGGGGAGCUGUAAGUGAGCAAUGAUCCAGAGAUGUCCGAAUGGGGGAACCCGGCAGGUAAUGCCUGUCACUCAUUACUGUUAAGGUAAUGUAGAGGAAGACGCAGUGAACUGAAACAUCUAAGUAGCUGUAGGAAGAGAAAGCAAAAGCGAUUGCCUUAGUAGCGGCGAGCGAAACGGCAAGAGGGCAAACCGAAGAGUUUACUCUUCGGGGUUGUAGGACUGCAACGUGGACUUAAAGAUUAUAGAAGAACUACCUGGGAAGGUAGGCCAAAGAGAGUAAUAGCCUCGUAUUCGAAAUAGUCUUUAUACCUAGCAGUAUCCUGAGUACGGCGAGACACGAGAAAUCUCGUCGGAAUCUGGGAGGACCAUCUCCCAACCCUAAAUACUCUCUAGUGACCGAUAGUGAACCAGUACCGUGAGGGAAAGGUGAAAAGCACCCCGGGAGGGGAGUGAAAUAGAACCUGAAACCGUGUGCCUACAACAAGUUCGAGCCCGUUAAUGGGUGAGAGCGUGCCUUUUGUAGAAUGAACCGGCGAGUUACGAUAUGAUGCGAGGUUAAGUUGAAGAGACGGAGCCGUAGGGAAACCGAGUCUUAAUAGGGCGCAUUAGUAUCAUGUCGUAGACCCGAAACCAUGUGACCUACCCAUGAGCAGGUUGAAGGUGAGGUAAAACUCACUGGAGGACCGAACCAGGGCACGUUGAAAAGUGCUUGGAUGACUUGUGGGUAGCGGAGAAAUUCCAAACGAACUUGGAGAUAGCUGGUUCUCUCCGAAAUAGCUUUAGGGCUAGCGUCGAUGUUAAGUCUCUUGGAGGUAGAGCACUGUUUGGGUGAGGGGUCCAUCCCGGAUUACCAAUCUCAGAUAAACUCCGAAUGCCAAUGAGAUAUAAUCGGCAGUCAGACUGCGAGUGCUAAGAUCCGUAGUCGAAAGGGAAACAGCCCAGACCACCAGCUAAGGUCCCAAAAUAUAUGUUAAGUGGAAAAGGAUGUGGGGUUGCACAGACAACUAGGAUGUUAGCUUAGAAGCAGCUAUUCAUUCAAAGAGUGCGUAAUAGCUCACUAGUCGAGUGACCCUGCGCCGAAAAUGUACCGGGGCUAAAACAUAUUACCGAAGCUGUGGAUACCUUUAUAGGUAUGGUAGGAGAGCGUUCUAUGUGCGAAGAAGGUGUACCGUGAGGAGUGCUGGAGCGCAUAGAAGUGAGAAUGCCGGUAUGAGUAGCGAAAGACAGGUGAGAAUCCUGUCCACCGUAAGACUAAGGUUUCCAGGGGAAGGCUCGUCCGCCCUGGGUUAGUCGGGACCUAAGGAGAGACCGAAAGGUGUAUCCGAUGGACAACAGGUUGAUAUUCCUGUACUAGAGUAUAUAGUGAUGGAGGGACGCAGUAGGCUAACUAAACCAGACGAUUGGAAGUGUCUGGCCAAUCAGUGAGGUGUGAUAUGAGUCAAAUGCUUAUAUCUUUAACAUUGAGCUGUGAUGGGGAGCGAAGUUUAGUAGCGAAGUUAGUGAUGUCACACUGCCGAGAAAAGCUUCUAGCGUUAAUUAUACUCUACCCGUACCGCAAACCGACACAGGUAGUCGAGGCGAGUAGCCUCAGGUGAGCGAGAGAACUCUCGUUAAGGAACUCGGCAAAAUGGCCCCGUAACUUCGGGAGAAGGGGCGCUGACUGAUGGUCAGCCGCAGUGAAUAGGCCCAAGCAACUGUUUAUCAAAAACACAGCUCUCUGCUAAAUCGUAAGAUGAUGUAUAGGGGGUGACGCCUGCCCGGUGCUGGAAGGUUAAGAGGAGUGCUUAGCGUAAGCGAAGGCAUGAAUUGAAGCCCCAGUAAACGGCGGCCGUAACUAUAACGGUCCUAAGGUAGCGAAAUUCCUUGUCGGGUAAGUUCCGACCCGCACGAAAGGCGUAAUGAUUUGGGCACUGUCUCAACGAGAGACUCGGUGAAAUUUUAGUACCUGUGAAGAUGCAGGUUACCCGCGACAGGACGGAAAGACCCCAUGGAGCUUUACUGCAGUUUGAUAUUGAGUAUCUGUACCACAUGUACAGGAUAGGUAGGAGCCUAUGACCUCGGGACGCCAGUUUCGAGUGAGGCGUUGUUGGGAUACUACCCUUGUGUUAUGGCUACUCUAACCCAGAUAGGUUAUCCCUAUCGGAGACAGUGUCUGACGGGCAGUUUGACUGGGGCGGUCGCCUCCUAAAAGGUAACGGAGGCGCCCAAAGGUUCCCUCAGAAUGGUUGGAAAUCAUUCGCAGAGUGUAAAGGUAUAAGGGAGCUUGACUGCGAGAGCUACAACUCGAGCAGGGACGAAAGUCGGGCUUAGUGAUCCGGUGGUUCCGUAUGGAAGGGCCAUCGCUCAACGGAUAAAAGCUACCCUGGGGAUAACAGGCUUAUCUCCCCCAAGAGUUCACAUCGACGGGGAGGUUUGGCACCUCGAUGUCGGCUCGUCGCAUCCUGGGGCUGUAGUCGGUCCCAAGGGUUGGGCUGUUCGCCCAUUAAAGCGGCACGCGAGCUGGGUUCAGAACGUCGUGAGACAGUUCGGUCCCUAUCCGUCGCGGGCGUAGGAAAUUUGAGAGGAUCUGCUCCUAGUACGAGAGGACCAGAGUGGACUUACCGCUGGUGUACCAGUUGUUCUGCCAAGAGCAUCGCUGGGUAGCUAUGUAGGGAAGGGAUAAACGCUGAAAGCAUCUAAGUGUGAAGCCCACCUCAAGAUGAGAUUUCCCAUGAUUUUAUAUCAGUAAGAGCCCUGAGAGAUGAUCAGGUUGAUAGGUUAGAAGUGGAAGUGUGGUGACACAUGUAGCGGACUAAUACUAAUAGCUCGAGGACUUAUCCAA